rnacentral:rRNA from 1 species
AUUGAACGCUGGCGGCAUGCCUUACACAUGCAAGUCGAACGGCAGCAUGGAAGAGCUUGCUCUUCUGAUGGCGAGUGGCGAACGGGUGAGUAAAGCAUCGGAACGUACCGUGUAGUGGGGGAUAACGUAGCGAAAGUUACGCUAAUACCGCAUACGCACUGAGGUGGAAAGCAGGGGAUCGCAAGACCUUGCGCUAUACGAGCGGCCGAUGUCAGAUUAGCUAGUUGGUAGGGUAAAGGCCUACCAAGGCGACGAUCUGUAGCGGGUCUGAGAGGAUGAUCCGCCACACUGGGACUGAGACACGGCCCAGACUCCUACGGGAGGCAGCAGUGGGGAAUUUUGGACAAUGGGCGGAAGCCUGAUCCAGCUAUGCCGCGUGAGUGAAGAAGGCCUCGGUUGUAAGA